AUGUACAACUUCAUCAGCAUUCUGUGGUUGAGCUUUCCUUUAAAAUGCAUGCUUUUGAUUGGGUGUUGCGGAGGAUCACAGAGGUUGAUGUGGUUGAGGUCGAUUUCAGAUCUAACCAAAACCCUUGUCUUGCUGGAGGUGUUCACAGAAGCCAUGGAGGGGAAUGCUGAUCCCCCAAAGGACAAGGCAUCGGGGGCAAGCACCUUGACACUUCCGUUUUUGCUGCAGUUGGGACUGAUGGUUGCACCUGCCUUACUUCAAACUCUGCUGUAGCACUUGCUAUGCUCUCCUUCCACAAGACUCUGCAGAACUUCUGCAAGAACGGGGGCAACAACAUAACAAUAGCUUUAAUGACUAGGCCUACUAUAUUUACCUGUACUGUAGACCCUAGCUGACCCGUUUCCAUGACUGAACACCAUGAUAUUCUUAACCCAAAUGACCUUGUAAUAAUCAUACAGAAACAGAAAUAAAGUUGUGUAUCUACACUCUUCUUGAUAUUUUCUAUCUCUGUCUAAUAGAUGGAGCCAUGUGCAGACUAUGCCUAUGACAUAUUGUGGGCUAGGGAUAGGCUAGGCAUUAGCCUUGAAAACCACCCUGGUUUCUUUACCUGGCUGCCACACCCCUCCCUCAGAGCUCUGGGUCUGCUCAGCUUCCUUUACUUCCUGUUGUGUCGAGCUCCUCUCCACACCCCACCCAGACCAUGCGGUAGUCAUUCAGAAACCACUGAGUGGUUAAAAAAACUCACUGUGAGUUUAAAAAAAAAACUUUUCAGUAACAUCGGUUAACCUGUCUGGGAACCUGGGACGUUUGCGUCCCACCCUAGUCAACAGCCAGUGGAAUCGCGUCGCGCGAAAUACAAAUACCUCAUAAAUGCUAUAACUUCAAUUUCUCAAACAUAUGACUGUUUUACACCAUUUUAUAAAUACACCUCUCCAGAAUCGAACCAUGUUGUCCGAUUUCAAAAAGGCUUUACAGCAAAAGCAAAACAUUAGAUUAUGUUAGGAGAGUACCCUGCCAAAAAUAAUCACACUGCCAUUUUCAAAGCAACUAGCAUGCAUCACAAAUACCCAAAACACAGCUAAAUGCAGCACUAACCUUUGACAAUCUUCAUCAGAUGACACUCCUAGGACAUCAUGUUACACAAUACAUGCAUUUUUUGUUCGAUAAAGUUCAUAUUUAUAUAUAAAAACAGCAUUUUACAUCGACGCGUGACGUUCAGAAAAUAUUUUCCCUCAUAUGCUUCCGGUGAUCAGCGCUACAAUUUUCAAAAUUACUAUUCGAAAACAUUGGUCAAAUAUAAUAUUGUCAUUCAAAGAAUUAUCGAUUAACCUGUUGGGGGUAGGGGGCAGUAUUUGCACGGCCGGAUAAAAAACGUACCCGAUUUAAUCUGGUUAUUACUACUGCCCAGAAACUAGAAUAUGCAUAUAAUUAUUGGCUUUGGAUAGAAAAGACCCUAAAGUUUCUAAAACUCUUUGAAUGGUGUCUGUGAGUAUAACAGAACUCAUAUGGCAGGCAAAAACCUGAGAAGAUUCCUUACAGGAAGUGGCCUGUCUGACAACUUCUUGGGCUUCUUGACUCUCUUUAUUGAAAACUUAGGAUCUCUGCUGUAACGUGACACUUCCUACGGCUCCCAUAGGCUCUCAGAAGGCGGGAAAAAGAUGAACGAUGUCUUUGCAGCCCCUGGCUGAAAAACAUUAGCGCCUUUGGUAAGUGGUCUAUCAGAGGACAAUGAGACUGAGGCGCGUGCACGAGGCGACCCCAUGUUUUUAUUUUCUCGCCCACAAAGGAUUGGAAGACAGCGGGAGCAUUUUUCAACCCAUACGGCAUGACGAGGUACUCAUAAUGGCCAGAUGUGGUACUAAAUGCGGUUUUCCACUCGUCUCCCCCUCGGAUACGCACCAGGUUAUACACGCUCCUGAGAUCUAGUUUGGUGAAGAAGCACUUCCCGUGAAAUGACUCCACCGCCGUAGCAAUGAGAGGUAGCGGGUAACUGAACCCCACUGUGAUCGAAUUUAGACCUCUAUAGUCAAUGCACGAGCGCAGACCUCACUCCUUCUUCUUCACAAAAAAGAAGCUCGAGGAGACAGGGGAUUUAGAUGGCCGAAUGUAUCCCUGUCUCAAGGACUCAGCGACAUAUGUUUCCAUUGCCACUGUCUCCUCCUGAGACAGAGGAUACAUGUGGCUUUUAGGAAGGACCGCGUCAGCCUGGAGGUUUAUCGAACAAUCCCCCUGUCGAUGGGGUGGUAAUUGGGUCGCCUUCGUCUUACUGAAGGCGAUAGCCAAAUCGGCAUAUUCAGAGGGAAUGUGCACAGUAGAGACUUGGUCUGGACUCUCCACCGUGGUUGCACCGAUGGAAACUCCUAUACAUCUACCUGAGCACUCCCUCGACCACCCCUUAAGAGCCCUCUGUCCCCACGAAAUCUGAGGGUUGUGAGUGGCUAGCCAGGGGAUACCCAGUACCACUGGAAACGCCGGGGAGUCAAUGAGGAAGAGGCUGAUAUGUUCCACAUGACCCCCCCCACGUCGCCAUAACCAGUGGUACAGUAGCCUCCCCCACUUGGCCGGACCCUAGUGGUCGACUGUCUAAGGCGUGCACAGGG
rnacentral:lncRNA from 8 species